GACGAACGCUGGCGGCGUGCUUAACACAUGCAAGUCGAACGGAAAGGCCUCUUUCGGGGGGUACUCGAGUGGCGAACGGGUGAGUAACACGUGAGUAACCUGCCCUUGACUUUGGGAUAACUUCAGGAAACUGGGGCUAAUACCGGAUAGGAGCUCCUGCUGCAUGGUGGGGGUUGGAAAGUUUCGGCGGUUGGGGAUGGACUCGCGGCUUAUCAGCUUGUUGGUGGGGUAGUGGCUUACCAAGGCUUUGACGGGUAGCCGGCCUGGGAGGGUGACCGGCCACAUUGGGGCUGGGAUACGGCCCAGACUCCUACGGGGGGCAGCAGGGGGGAAUAUUGCACAAUGGGUGGAAGCCUGAUGCAGCAACGCCGUGUGCGGGAUGACGGCCUUCGGGUUGGAAACCGCUUUCGCUCAUGACGAAGCUUUGUGUGACGGUAGUGGGUAAAGAAGCACCGGCUAACUACGUG
rnacentral:rRNA from 1 species